UACGGGGGGUGCAAGCGUUGUUCGGAAUUACUGGGCGUAAAGGGCUUGUAGGUGGCUUGUUAAGUCAGACGUGAAAUCCCUCAGCUUAACUGGGGAACUGCGUCUGAUACUGGCGAGCUUGAGUGCAGGAGAGGAACGCGGAAUUCCAGGUGUAGCGGUGAAAUGCGUAGAUAUCUGGAGGAACACCGGUGGCGAAGGCGGCGUUCUGGACUGCAACUGACACUGAGAAACGAAAGCCAGGGUAGCAAACGGG
rnacentral:rRNA from 1 species